rnacentral:lncRNA from 1 species
AUGAGACUGAGGUCUUUGAGGACAGCACAUGAACACUCACACACACACACACACACACACACGCUUUAUGCGACUCUGCUCGGUCGCACAGCCCGUUUAGUGGCCUUCGCCGUGCGAGUUCCGAGACGGGCAUCCUGGGUCAGCAGGGUUCGCCAGAACCCGAGUGCAACCCGGCGCGUCCGGCCUGCCGAGUCACGGUGCCGGAAACCCCAUCUCCCCGGCUCCGCCCUGCAGCGAGCGAGCGCCUGCGAGGUUCGAGACCGCCGUGACUCAGCCGAUCUCCCGGAGGACGACGGCGAGGAGCAACACGCUUCGGGCAAAGGCCACCCGGCUGCUGUGAGAUGUUCCACUGAGCGGUUCCUGAAAGCGGAGACCCAGACGAGACAGGGAGCACAAAACCAGGGCCCUCACUGGGGACACGUCAAGCGUAUCCUUGAAGGGCUCGAGCUAACUCCAACAGGUCAGUGCUUCCCACAAACCCGAACCAGCCAAAACCAGCCGCUGAACCCUUAGCUCUGGCCUCUCGUGGGUGAACCUAGACAUGACAGAUGCUGGGCAAUGACAGAAACCCCUUGACCCCGGAGAACCAGAAAGGACUAGUCCUGAUUGAAGGCUGGUGCUCCCAUGGCUUCAGUCAGCGAACUAGGAACUCCAAGACUAAGCCUUGUGGAUUUGGUGCUGCAUGCAACAGCAGAUGUUGUGGUGACCAGGAAACCAUGCGGGGGCUAGGCUCAGUGACUCGUAAUCCCGCUCUCAUACCGUUAUCGGAAACCAAGAGCCUUUAACAGGGAAACCUGUCGGAGGAACAUUAUUACUACACUGCAAGCUUUAUGCUUUUAAAGUCUUACUAUUUUAAAUUCUCUAUUUUUUAUCAGUUCCUGUUACUUCACGUCUUCUUUGCAACGAUCAUCACCAUACAUAGUCAGGCUCGUUCUCACGGCCCGUCCAUCCAUCAUGAAACCGACCUUCGGGUCACGCUACAGGCGGCUGAGUUCCCCCCUUUCUUUGAGCGACCAUUUCAGCGAAGAACGACACACCUGUACCCGAGGUCGCCGAAGUUAAUCCACUGUAGCCUUUGACUCUAGCUAAUUUAUUCAGAAGUAUUUGAAAAUCAAUAGCAAGCUCUAGAGCGCUGAAUAUAUUUAGUAGUGGGUCAGCGGUCCAUCUCAUAACAGCCUCCGAAAUCACAAAAAGAGCUCAUACCCUGACCUGAUUUCAUACCAAAUAUAAAAACAAACCUUUUCCAAAGCGUACAGGGCACAUUGCCUGAAUUAGAGUAAAAAAUAAUACAAACAGCUACAAUGAACCAAAAAUAGAGGUCAGCGUGGUUUUCCGAAAGCACGCCGUAAAAUAAACUCGGUGGCUUUAUUUAGCUGCGGUGCUGG